CCCUUAGAUGUCCUGGGCCGCACGCGCGCUACACUGAUGCAUGCAACGAGUUUCACUUUUCCUGGGUCGAGAGGCCCGGGUAAUCUGUUGAACGUGCAUCGUGAUAGGGAUAGAUCAUUGCAAUUAUUGAUCUUGAACGAGGAAUUCCUAGUAAACGCGAGUCAUCAGCUCGCAUUGAUUACGUCCCUGCCCUUUGUACACACCGCCCGUCGCUCCUACCGAUUGAAUGUGUUGGUGAGGAGCUCGGAUUGGCAGCAGUUGGUGGUUCGCCACCGGCUAUUGCUGAGAAGUCCUCCAAACCGCCCCAUUUAGAGGAAGGAGAAGUCGUAACA
rnacentral:rRNA from 1 species